CUAGCAACACUAUCCUGGUGCUGUCAGAGUAAGUGGUAAAGCUCCAGCAUCAGUGAUUUUGUUGUUAG
rfam:Colius striatus contig83371, whole genome shotgun sequence.